rnacentral:rRNA from 1 species
GAUGAACGCUGGCGGCGUGCCUAAUACAUGCAAGUCGAGCGAACGGACGAGAAGCUUGCUUCUCUGAUGUUAGCGGCGGACGGGUGAGUAACACGUGGAUAACCUACCUAUAAGACUGGGAUAACUUCGGGAAACCGGAGCUAAUACCGGAUAAUAUUUUGAACCGCAUGGUUCAAAAGUGAAGGACGGUCUUGCUGUCACUUAUAGAUGGACCCGCGCUGCAUUAGCUAGUUGGUAAGGUAACGGCUUACCAAGGCAACGAUGCAUAGCCGACCUGAGAGGGUGAUCGGCCACACUGGAACUGAGACACGGUCCAGACUCCUACGGGAGGCAGCAGUAGGGAAUCUUCCGCAAUGGGCGAAAGCCUGACGGAGCAACGCCGCGUGAGUGAUGAAGGUCUUCGGAUCGUAAAACUCUGUUAUUAGGGAAGAACAUAUGUGUAAGUAACUGUGCACAUCUUGACGGUACCUAAUCAGAAAGCCACGGCUAACUACGUGCCAGCAGCCGCGGUAAUACGUAGGUGGCAAGCGUUAUCCGGAAUUAUUGGGCGUAAAGCGCGCGUAGGCGGUUUUUUAAGUCUGAUGUGAAAGCCCACGGCUCAACCGUGGAGGGUCAUUGGAAACUGGAAAACUUGAGUGCAGAAGAGGAAAGUGGAAUUCCAUGUGUAGCGGUGAAAUGCGCAGAGAUAUGGAGGAACACCAGUGGCGAAGGCGACUUUCUGGUCUGUAACUGACGCUGAUGUGCGAAAGCGUGGGGAUCAAACAGGAUUAGAUACCCUGGUAGUCCACGCCGUAAACGAUGAGUGCUAAGUGUUAGGGGGUUUCCGCCCCUUAGUGCUGCAGCUAACGCAUUAAGCACUCCGCCUGGGGAGUACGACCGCAAGGUUGAAACUCAAAGGAAUUGACGGGGACCCGCACAAGCGGUGGAGCAUGUGGUUUAAUUCGAAGCAACGCGAAGAACCUUACCAAAUCUUGACAUCCUUUGACAACUCUAGAGAUAGAGCUUUCCCCUUCGGGGGACAAAGUGACAGGUGGUGCAUGGUUGUCGUCAGCUCGUGUCGUGAGAUGUUGGGUUAAGUCCCGCAACGAGCGCAACCCUUAAGCUUAGUUGCCAUCAUUAAGUUGGGCACUCUAAGUUGACUGCCGGUGACAAACCGGAGGAAGGUGGGGAUGACGUCAAAUCAUCAUGCCCCUUAUGAUUUGGGCUACACACGUGCUACAAUGGACAAUACAAAGGGCAGCGAAACCGCGAGGUCAAGCAAAUCCCAUAAAGUUGUUCUCAGUUCGGAUUGUAGUCUGCAACUCGACUACAUGAAGCUGGAAUCGCUAGUAAUCGUAGAUCAGCAUGCUACGGUGAAUACGUUCCCGGGUCU